UACUCCAAGAAAUAAGCCCCAGUUAAGUGAAACCCCACCCUCCACAAUUGUGCAGCAACCAGAAGAUGACAUGACUGUACAGUAUUUGGAUAAAUAUAGAUUGUUGUACAUGAAAAAAAUUGCCUGGAAAUAAGCCCUAAUGCGUUUUUGAGCAAACACAGUAGAUACUUCAUUUGAAGGAGGUGGGAACACUUUGACUUCAGUAAAGUUACUUUGUGAAAACAUUAUGAAUGGCAACAUAAUGAGCAAAUCACAUUAGGUUUAAAUUCACAGUCAUAUUAUCUUUGUGUUGUGUUUUUAAAUACACCUACAGUAAUUGGUUUUCCUAGAGGUAUACUUGACAGCCCCUCAACCUCAUGGCUGAUGAUCACACAACCAGUAGAGUUGGGGGCUAUUCAACACUUUGUUGGAAGGCAAAGGCCAGGAUGCAUCUAACACUAAAACAAACAAAAGGUUUCAGCCAAAAUCUUCACCACUUUUCUAAUUUCACUUGCUUUCUUUAGCAAUCUGAAGAAAAUCAGAGACUUAUAUGAGAAUAUGAUAAAGGAAAUACCAGUUUCACCAAACGGUGCUGGGGUGGUAAUGCUGAAUGAAGAAGAAAUUAUUAAAAUUGAGUUUGAUAAAGUAUAUAAUGCUUUGGAAGUGAGGAAAAAACAGUUACUUGAAGAUGUUGAAGUCCAGAAGAAAAGGAAACUGAAAGAGUCACUAAUAUGGAACAGAAUGAAAGACGUUCACAAGAAAACCAUUGAAAAUGUUCUGAAUGAUUGUGAGAAGCUUUUAAAUGAAUAUAAUCCGCAGCGUUUUCUAGAGGUCGCAUGCAGCUUGAAUCAAAGAAUGAAGACUCAGCUGGACCUCAUGCAAAUAGCAUGCAGCCAUGGGAAUCAGUCAGAAUGCAAACAAGUGCAGAUGGAUACAACAGAUAUAGUUAAUGAUAUCUUAGCCUUGAACCUCACUGCUGUUGAUCUGGAUGUUGUUAAAGACAUUCCUUCCAGAGAUGUUGAACAUUCUAUCUCUGCAAGCCCUGGAAGCAAACUGGAAGUUAAGGAAAAUGUACAGAAAACAACUUAUGAGAUGCGUUAUAACUAUUAUAUGAAACAUCAAGUGUGUUUAGAUGAAUUACAGGCACAGAUCUCUCCUCAAAAUGAAAAUUUUCCAUUAUUGAAAUGUUUGUCUUCAAAGAGCGCAACUUCAAGAUUUGUUCCUUCUUGUCUUAGUGCUAAAGCAAAAAAUAAGAAAAAAAUCGCAACAUUACAGAGACCAUGUUUUAGUGAAUCUGGUGUGUCUAAUCCACUUGGUUUUACAUUCAAUGCAGAAGCAAUGAACUUCAAUUUCUGUAGCUCAAACAAUAAACUGAAUCUUCAAAGAGUGAAUCAGUCUCAGAAUGAUGCCAAGGAAACUUCCCAAUCAGCAGUUAGCAAUAGCUGUCAAAAUACAACAAAAUUACUUCAACCUCAUGUAGUAACACUUUCUUCUGAAGACCUCAUCUCAUCUACUGUAUUUCCAAAAGUAUCUGAGUUAGCAGCAGUAUCUGUUGCUGCUGUAAACCCAUGUAUUUCAGGUGCUGUGUCAGGACAUUCAGCUUCACCUUUCAUUUUUGGUCCAAGUGGCAAUUUGGGAACAACUCCUUCAAGUAAGAAAUCGUCUGUAAUGUUUGAAAAAGAAAAGGUGGCUUUCUCCACUCUUUCUCUGGUUAGAUCUGAAAGCCAGGAUUGCAACAUAAACAAUAUAAAUGUUUAUAAUUCAACAAAUGGUUUCUUGACAGUUGCUACCACUGUCUCUACCAUCAGUCCAAAGUCUGGUACAGCUGUAAGUGGAAAUCCUUUCUUAUCUACUUUUCCUGCUAAUUCUGAAAGUGAUUCUUGUCAGACAACUACAGUGAGCAGCAGUUCAGAGCAAAAGUCAUUUUCAUAUUUGAUUGCUGAUCAGAAGAUACUACAAGGAAACAAAGCAGUUUGCUUCAGGAAACAGAAUAAUGAGGGUAAUAGUUGGGUCACAUACUCUGCCAUUGACUCUAAUAAGCACUUAAUAUAUAGCUCUAAUGAUGCUUUCUCCAUGGCCUGCACAACAUCCAGUUUUACUGCUUCUCAUAUGAUAGAUACUUCAGAAAAGCAGCCUAUACCUGAUAGUGUCUCCUCAAAGAAUGACUGUUCCACAAAUGGCAUUCAUCUUUUACCUUUGAAAAGAGGCAACAAAAAUUGUGGUGAUACUUUAAUCUCCAUAAAACCUUUAAAGAAAAUUGAAUGUGCAACUGAGAAAUCAAAAGUGAAACCUGAAGACAAAAAUGUAACUGUACAAAGAUCUGUGCCUUCAAAAAAAGAUGUAGCUGCUUAUAAAGAACUGAAAGACAUAAGGAACUGCUCUUCCUUGGCUUCUAUCAACAAGUGUCCAAAAGCAAAAACUUGUAGUGUACUAGUUCCUCAGCAAAAUGUAGCCCAUGAUCUUACUGUAAACAGCACUUCAGAUUCAGUUAAACUCACAGAAAUGGAGAAUUCAUUAGAAAUCUUUCCACCAGCUGUUGAAGACCAUAAAGUGUUUUCUUCAGUUCUUGAUGGAGCAAGUUGCACAGUAAAUUCAGAUUCUGAUGUAGAAGAUUUAAGCCAAGCAUCUAAUGUUAGUGAUUCUAGUAGUACAUCUGAAUAUUUUUCUGUUACUGAGGAUCAAAUUUCCUGUUGA
ensembl:lncRNA